UACGUAGGAUGCGAGCGUUAUCCGGAUUUAUUGGGUUUAAAGGGUGCGCAGGCGGAUUUUUAAGUCAGCGGUCAAAUCGUGGGGCUCAACCCCAUCCAGCCGUUGAAACUGAUGUUCUUGAGUGGGCGAGAAGUAUGCGGAAUGCGUGGUGUAGCGGUGAAAUGCAUAGAUAUCACGCAGAACUCCGAUUGCGAAGGCAGCAUACCGGCGCUCAACUGACGCUGAGGCACGAAAGUGCGGGUAUCGAACAGG
rnacentral:rRNA from 1 species